rnacentral:rRNA from 1 species
ACGGGAGGCAGCAGUAGGGAAUCUUCCACAAUGGACGCAAGUCUGAUGGAGCAACGCCGCGUGAGUGAAGAAGGUUUUCGGAUCGUAAAGCUCUGUUGUUGGUGAAGAAGGAUAGAGGCAGUAACUGGCCUUUAUUUGACGGUAAUCAACCAGAAAGUCACGGCUAACUACGUGCCAGCAGCCGCGGUAAUACGUAGGUGGCAAGCGUUGUCCGGAUUUAUUGGGCGUAAAGCGAGCGCAGGCGGAAGAAUAAGUCUGAUGUGAAAGCCCUCGGCUUAACCGAGGAACUGCAUCGGAAACUGUUUUUCUUGAGUGCAGAAGAGGAGAGUGGAACUCCAUGUGUAGCGGUGGAAUGCGUAGAUAUAUGGAAGAACACCAGUGGCGAAGGCGACUCUCUGGUCUGCAACUGACGCUGAGGCUCGAAAGCAUGGGUAGCGAACAGGAUUAGAUACCCUGGUAGUCCAUGCCGUAAACGAUGAGUGCUAAGUGUUGGGAGGUUUCCGCCUCUCAGUGCUGCAGCUAACGCAUUAAGCACUCCGCCUGGGGAGUACGACCGCAAGGUUGAAACUCAAAGGAAUUGACGGGGGCCCGCACAAGCGGUGGAGCAUGUGGUUUAAUUCGAAGCAACGCGAAGAACCUUACCAGGUCUUGACAUCUAGUGCCAUCCUAAGAGAUUAGGAGUUCCCUUCGGGGACGCUAAGACAGGUGGUGCAUGGCUGUCGUCAGCUCGUGUCGUGAGAUGUUGGGUUAAGUCCCGCAACGAGCGCAACCCUUGUUAUUAGUUGCCAGCAUUAAGUUGGGCACUCUAAUGAGACUGCCGGUGACAAACCGGAGGAAGGUGGGGAUGACGUCAAGUCAUCAUGCCCCUUAUGACCUGGGCUACACACGUGCUACAAUGGACAGUACAACGAGAAGCGAGCCUGCGAAGGCAAGCGAAUCUCUGAAAGCUGUUCUCAGUUCGGACUGCAGUCUGCAACUCGACUGCACGAAGCUGGAAUCGCUAGUAAUCGCGGAUCAGAACGCCGCGGUGAAUACGUUCCCGGGCCUUGUACACACCGCCCGUCACACCAUGGAAGUCUGCAAUGCCCAAAGCCGGUGGCCUAACCUUCGGUAAGG